GAGCAGACUGAUCUAACACAGGAGGUCAGAGAGCUGACUGAUCUAACACAGGAGGUCAGAGAGCUGACUAAUCUAACACAGGAGGAGAGAGAGCUGACUAAUCUAACACAGGAGGAGAGAGAGCUGACUAAUCUAACACAGGAGGAGAGAGAGCUGACUGAUCUAACACAGGAGGUCAGAGAGCUGACUAAUCUAACACAGGAGGUGAGAGAGCUGACUAAUCUAACACAGGAGGUCAGAGAGCUGACUGAUCUAACACAGGAGGUCAGAGAGCUGACUGAUCUAACACAGGUCAGAGAGCUGACUGAUCUAACACAGGAGGUCAGAGAGCUGACUGAUCUAACACAGGAGGUGGGAGAGAACUCCUAAAAGACAG
ensembl:lncRNA